rnacentral:rRNA from 1 species
UACGGAGGGGGCUAGUGUUGUUCGGAAUUACUGGGCGUAAAGCGUACGUAGGCGGCUUUGUAAGUUAGAGGUGAAAGCCUGAUGCUCAACAUCAGAAUUGCCUUUAAGACUGCAUCGCUUGAACGUCGGAGAGGUAAGUGGAAUUCCGAGUGUAGAGGUGAAAUUCGUAGAUAUUCGGAAGAACACCAGUGGCGAAGGCGGCUUACUGGACGACUGUUGACGCUGAGGUACGAAAGCGUGGGGAGCAAACAGG